GAAGAAGAAGAAGAAGAAGAGAUGACCACAGAAAUCGAAAAUGAAAUCUUAAAUCACUUUUAAAUUAUUGAAAGGGUCAAUAUGUAAUGACGAUUUUCAAUGUUUAUCAGAUAAUCUUACACUUUUUGCCCCGACAAUCUCUCACUGCAAAUAUAUCAUUCCAGUUUGGCUUGAUGUUUAGCUCUUGCCGAAGACUUUUUGGUUCUACAAUGGGAUUUGAAAAUUUGUUAUACGUCAAGUCCAGUCUACUUCCCAAAAAAUUAUCCAUAGUAUCGGAAAUCCAGGGAGGAAGGGUUUCAGUAAGCAUGUUCCUGUUCAGAAACAAUUUUCUUAAUGUUAGAUUCUUGAAUGAUUCAGGAAUCCCACCAGCUAAGUUGUUAAAGCUCAAGUCAAGGUGAUUCAGUGAUAACCAAUUACCAAUAUAUUCUGGGAUUGGACCAUUAAUUGAGCAAUUCCUCAAUACCAAACGAUAUAUGGAUGACAGGUUUGCUUCUUCUGGGAAAGAGAAACUGGUGUUGCUGAGGUCACUAACCAACAAGUAAAUGAGUGCAGUCCAAUUUGCUAUAUAGUUGGGUAUUCGACCAGUCAAAUUGUUCCCAGCCACUUCAAAAAAUUGGAGAUUCUGAAGUCCUGCAAAACUUUGGUUCAAUUCCCCAGUUAGAUAGUUGGACCUCACAUUAAAAUCCAGAAGAUUUCCCAACUUUCCAAGUUCUGGUGGAAGAGUACCGUUCAGUUGAUUCUCAUCCAAUCUCAG
rnacentral:misc_RNA from 1 species